GGACCCGCACAAGUAGUGGAGCAUGUGGUUUAAUUCGAAGAUACGCGCAGAACCUUACCAACACUUGACAUGUUCGUCGCGACUCUAAGAGAUUAGAGUUUUCGGUUCGGCCGGACGAAACACAGGUGCUGCAUGGCUGUCGUCAGCUCGUGUCGUGAGAUGUUGGGUUAAGUCCCGCAACGAGCGCAACCCUCACUUUUAGUUGCCAUCAUUAAGUUGGGCACUCUGAAAGAACUGCCAGUGAUAAGCUGGAGGAAGGUGGGGAUGACGUCAAGUCCUCAUGGCCCUUACGUGUUGGGCUACACACGUGCUACAAUGGUAUCUACAACAGGAAGCAAGACGGCGACGUUAAGCAAAUCCUUAAAAGAUACCUCAGUUCGGAUUGCACUCUGCAACUCGAGUGCAUGAAGCUGGAAUUACUAGUAAUCCCAGAU
rnacentral:rRNA from 1 species